rnacentral:piRNA from 1 species
GACAAUGAAUACGUGUCUGGAACUCUGAGG